rnacentral:rRNA from 1 species
GGUCAAGAUACUAAGAGCAAUUGGUGGAUGCCUAGGCAUAUAGAGGCGAUGAAGGACGUGGCUAGCUGCGAAAAGCUUCGGGGAGGUGCAAACAACCGUUGAUCCGGAGAUGUCCGAAUGGGGCAACCCUAUCUGAUUAAUAUCAGGUAACUCCCGGUUGAAUAUAUAGACCGGGUAGAGUGAACGGGGAGAAUUGACACAUCUAAGUACCCCCAGGAAUAGAAAACAACCGUGAUUCCCAAAGUAGCGGCGAGCGAACUGGGAAGAGCCUAAACCUGCUUUAUGUUAAAGCCUGCCGGCGUUGUAUAGCAGGGGUUGCGGGACAUUUUUGGAGAGAUCGGCGGAUCUCUCGACAAGUCAAAAACCUGUUGAUUAUUCGAACAGUCCUGGAAAGGACUGGCCGUAGAAGGUGAAAGCCCUGUAGGGAAAAAUCUGCAGGCUUGUUGAAAAAUGUUCCCAAUUACCACGAUCCACGAGGAAUUUUGUGGGAAUCUACCGGGACCACCCGGAAAGGCUAAAUACUCCUAUAUGACCGAUAGUGAACUAGUACCGUGAGGGAAAGGUGAAAAGUACUCCUGACGGAGAGUGAAAUAGAACCUGAAACCAUUUGCUUACAAUCUGUUGGAGUCCCGACUUGUCGGGAUGACAGCGUGCCUUUUGCAUAAUGAGCCAGCGAGUUACUCGUAUGUUGCGAGGCUAAUCCAGACGGAGGAGCCGUAGCGAAAGCAAGUCUGAAUAGGGCGAUUAGUAACAUGCGGUAGACCCGAAGCCGGGUGAUCUAUCCAUGGCCAGGAUGAAGUUCCGGUAACACGGAAUGGAGGUCCGAACCCACCAGCGUUGAAAAGCUGGGGGAUGAGCUGUGGAUGGGGGUGAAAGGCCAAUCAAACUCGGCGAUAGCUGGUUCUCCCCGAAAUAGCUUUAGGGCUAGCCUUGCAUAAGAGUAUGACGGAGGUAGAGCACUGAAUGGGCUAGGGGCCUUACCAGGUUACCAACCCCAAUCAAACUCCGAAUGCCGUCCAUAUGUUUUGCAGGAGUCAGGCCGUGUGGGAUAAGCUUCACGGCCGAGAGGGAAACAACCCAGAUCGAUAGCUAAGGUCCCUAAAUACAGGGUAAGUGAUAAAGGAUGUGAAAUUACACAGACAGCUAGGAUGUUGGCUUAGAAGCAGCCACUCAUUUAAAGAGUGCGUAAUAGCUCACUAGUCAAGUGGUUUCGCGCCAAUAAUUCUCGGGACUAAUAACCUUGUUACCGAAGCUUCGGAUUCUACCGUUAUGCGGUGGAGUGGUAGGGGAGCGUUCCAUUAACCGUUGAAGGUCAAUCGUGAGGUUGGCUGGAGGACAUGGAAAUGAGUAUGCUGGCAUGAGUAGCGAUAAUUCCGGUGAGAUUCCGGAACACCGAAAGCCUAAGGGUUCCUGAGUAAAGUAAAUCUUCUCAGGGUUAGUCGGGCCCUAAGCCGAGGCCGAAAGGCGUAGGCGAUGGAAAACAGGUUGAAUAUUCCUGUACCAUCUGUAUAUUGUUUGAUCUAUGGGGUAACGCAGGAGUGAAAGGUCAGCCGGGUGUUGAAUGUCCCGGUUUAAGCAGGUAGGGGGACUGGAUAGGCAAAUCCGUCCGGUCAUAACCCCGAGACGCGAAUAGGAGUCCCUAGGACACAAACUGACCCUAAUCAUACUGACAAGAAAAGCCUCUAUGGUAGAUAUAUGGAUGUCCGUACCCUAAACCGACACAGGUAGGCGAGGAGAGUAUCCUAAGGUGCUCGAGAUAGCUCUGGUUAAGGAACUAGGCAAAUUUGCCCCGUAACUUCGGAAUAUGGGGUGCCUCGAUUAGGUGAUAUUUUUACUAAUGUAGCCGAAAGAGGUCGCAGUGAAAAGGUCCAAGCGACUGUUUACUAAAAACACAGGUCUAUGCGAAAUCGUAAGACGAUGUAUAUGGACUGACACCUGCCCGGUGCUGGAAGGUUAAAGGGACGUGUCAUGCCGACUUGUCGGCAGAAGCUCUGAACUGAAGCCCCAGUAAACGGCGGCCGUAACUAUAACGGUCCUAAGGUAGCGAAAUUCCUUGUCGGGUAAGUUCCGACCCGCACGAAUGGUGUAACGACUUGGACACUGUCUCAACCAGAGCCUCGGCGAAAUUGUAAUGCCGGUGAAGAUGCCGGCUACCCGCAGCAGGACAGAAAGACCCCGGAACCUUUACUAUAACUUGGCAUUGGAUUUUGGUUUUGUAUGUGUAGGAUAGGUGGGAGACUUUGAAGCGGGCACGCUAGUGCUCGUGGAGUCAACCUUGAAAUACCACCCUUAUAAAGUUAGAAUUCUAACCCAUCUCCUUGAAUCAGGAGAGGGGACAUUGCCAGGCGGGUAGUUUGACUGGGGCGGUCGCCUCCAAAAAUGUAACGGAGGCUCCCAAAGGUUCCCUCAGCACGAUUGGUAACCGUGCGCAGAGUGUAAAGGCAUAAGGGAGCUUAACUGCGAGACCUACAAGUCGAGCAGAUGCGAAAGCAGGGCUUAGUGAUCCGGCGGUAGCGAGUGGAAGUGCCGUCGCUCAAAGGAUAAAAGGUACUCCGGGGAUAACAGGCUGAUCUCCCCCAAGAGUUCACAUCGACGGGGAGGUUUGGCACCUCGAUGUCGGCCCGUCACAUCCUGGGGCUGGAGAAGGUCCCAAGGGUUGGGCUGUUCGCCCAUUAAAGUGGCACGCGAGCUGGGUUUAGAACGUCGUGAGACAGUUCGGUCCUUAUCCGCUGUGGGCGUAGGAGAUUUGAAAGGGGCUGCUCUUAGUACGAGAGGACCAGAGUGGACAAACCUCUAGUGUACCAGUUGUGCCGUCAGGUGCAGUGCUGGGUAGCUACGUUUGGUUUGGAUAAACGCUGAAUGCAUAUAAGCGUGAAACCGUCCUUAAGACAAAAUCUCCCUCCCGUUAAAACGGGACUAAAGGUUCCUUGUAGAUUACGAGGUUGAUAGGUCAUAGGUGUACAUGCCGUAAGGCAUUUAGCCAAGUGAUACUAAUAAACCGUGAGUCUUGACCAA